AGGAGGUACUUAAACCGGUGUUGUGGCGCAGGUCAGGUAAUUUCAACCCUGACCCAGAGGAGCAAUGUUGCCGGUCCUCACUCGCCUCAUAUUUAAGAUGAAUGAUGGAGAAUCCAGUUGCGGGUUAGUUUCCUUAAAUUCUGUAGAUCUGGGAGAAUGUUGCUGUACCAGAUAUGAAAACUACUUACCGGUGAUCAACAAGGAUAUCGUGUUGAUGCCUGGUGUUACUUCAGCUCAUUUCAUAAAUUUUGAGGUUACCAAGUCAUGGGAUGGAGGAGGAAGAGACGUCACCUUCAGUACAACAAACUACUGUACUUUUAAUGCCAAGUCAGAUGCUAAAAGUAAAGUUUGUGAUGACUGACUUGCUGCACCAGGAACAACUGAAAUUUUAUUCUGAACACGACUGCUGUGCUGCCCUGCAGCCUGUAUGCCGUGCUGCCCAUGACUGCUGUGCUGCCCUGCAGCCUGUAUGCUGUGCUGCCUACAACUGCUGUGCUGCCCUGCAGCCUGUAUGCCGUGCUGCCCUGCAGCCUGUACGCCGUGCUGCCCUGCAGCCUGUAUGCUGUGCUGCCCACGACUGCUGUGCCGUGCUGCCCUGCACUAACAAAAAAAUAAUGUAUUGAGCCAUUACAUUAUUCAGUAAUAAAUGUAUAAAUAUUG